rnacentral:rRNA from 1 species
CAGCCGCCGCGGUAAUACGUAGGUCCCGAGCGUUGUCCGGAUUUAUUGGGCGUAAAGCGAGCGCAGGCGGUUAGAUAAGUCUGAAGUUAAAGGCUGUGGCUUAACCAUAGUACGCUUUGGAAACUGUUUAACUUGAGUGCAAGAGGGGAGAGUGGAAUUCCAUGUGUAGCGGUGAAAUGCGUAGAUAUAUGGAGGAACACCGGUGGCGAAAGCGGCUCUCUGGCUCGAAACUGACGCUGAGGCGCGAAAGCGUGGGGAGCAAACAGGAUUAGAUACCCCCGUAGUCCCUGUCUCUUAUACA